rnacentral:RNase_P_RNA from 1 species
UCUGGGUAAAUGCUGCAUACUUUGAUAUGUAGAGGAAAGUCCAUGCUCGCACUAUCUGCGAUGAUAGUAGUGUUUGUGUUUAGGGAAAAAAUAACCUAAAGCAGGUAACUGACGGCUUAUCUUUUAUCUAAAGGAAACCAUGAUAAAAGAUGUGUAAAAGUGCCACAGAGACGAGUCUAUUUAGAAAUAAGUAGAAUGAAACGAGGUAAACCCCGCAAGCGAGAAACCCAAAUUAUGGUAGGGGAGUCCUAAUCUAGAGAAACAGAAUCUAGAAGGAAUGACUUAUGUCAUAGAUAAAUAUUUACCGCCUAGAAAUAGGUACAGAACAUGGCUUAUAA